rnacentral:tRNA from 1 species
UCCCUGGUGGUUCAGAUGGUAAAGAAUCCACCUGCAAUGUGGGAGAUCUGGGUUCGAUCCCUGGUCUGGGAA